AGUGAACGCUGGCGGUAGGCCUAACACAUGCAAGUCGAACGGCAGCACAGUAAGAGCUUGCUCUUACGGGUGGCGAGUGGCGGACGGGUGAGGAAUACAUCGGAAUCUACUUUUUCGUGGGGGAUAACGUAGGGAAACUUACGCUAAUACCGCAUACGACCUACGGGUGAAAGCAGGGGAUCUUCGGACCUUGCGCGAUUGAAUGAGCCGAUGUCGGAUUAGCUAGUUGGCGGGGUAAAGGCCCACCAAGGCGACGAUCCGUAGCUGGUCUGAGAGGAUGGAUCGGCACACCGGGAACUGGGACACGGUCCAGACACCAACGGAAGGCAGAGUGGGGGAAUAUGGAAAAAUGGGCGAAAGCCUGUUCAAGCCAUACCGGGUGGGUGAAGAGGGCCUUCGGGUUGUAAAGCCCUUUUGUGGGGAAAGAAAGGCAGCAGUUUAAAACCCGCUGUUCUGACGGUACCCAAAGAAUAAGCACCGGCUAACUUCGUG
rnacentral:rRNA from 1 species